UGAAAACUCACGGUCAUUGAUUGAUUUAUUUGGUUCCAGGAAACAAGUUUAUUUUUAUGAUCGUAAAUUACAGGCUACAUCACGAAACAAGUUUAUUUUUUGGAUCGUCAACUCCAGGUUGCAUCACGGACAGUGGGUCGAGUUCCUUAGACUUGGUGAUAGAUGGGGCGCCAACAUUGAGAGCGGAGUGCGCAAGAGAAAAAAAUACAGAAAAUCCGUGGGUAGAACUGUGAAACCCGCUUUGGAUAUAGGUCCAACGACUCCCGAGAAGGCAAGGGUGAAUCGUAUGAAGCGUAAGGGAAUGAUACUAGAGAGAAGAAACAAGAAAAUAUGUCGAUUGUUCGAAAGUAAAGAUGCAGAAAGAUUACAGUCGAAAGUGAUGCCAGGACAACCAAGUUGUGAACCAGAACAGGCUAGGGUGAAUCUCCAUAGGCGUAAAAUUAUAGUGGUGGAAAGGAAAUUCAAAACAAUUUCAAGUCCAGGGGUGCUUAAGAGGAAAAGGGCAUUAGAGAAAAGUGAUCUUGGAUCCCCAGAGUGGUUCAAUGGACACUGUUGAACAUUCUACAGGGGUACGUAAGAGAAAUGGUGUAAUGGGGAGUGGAAGUCUAAACUCCGAGGGUGGUUCAGAUAUUUGUGGCCAUAUAGAGAUUGAAGUGAUCGAGCAUUCUACCAAAUUGGGUAUCAAAAUAAACGAUCUCGGAUCUCCGUGCAACACAUGCCCAGGUUGUGGAGCAAUGGUCUGGCGUCAAGAGAUAACUGAAAAAUCUGAUGAUCUAUCUAAGGUUGAAUAUUCUAUAUGUUGUUUGAAGUCUCUGACUAAUCAGUAUAAUUUUGAUGCAGUGACAUUACUAUGGAUGUGACUUUAUGGGAUGAAUUGACCGAAGCAAUACAUGAUGGAAUGAUAGGAGGUGAUGGUACUGAGCCAAUAAUUGUCAUAGUUACAGGAACCUUCAUAACAGAACGCCUAGGGCGAACUUUCCUUGCUACAUCACCAGCGUCGAGCAUAUUUGUUAAUUUGGAUGUACUAGAUAUCCAGGAAUUUCGAAUAAUGCUGGACACCAAAAAUACUCCAGUCGAACAAUCGAAGUAUCCAAGGAGGAUGAUCCAAUUGAAAAUGGACUUACUAUACAAAAAGCAACGGGAUAAGGUGGAAUUCAACGAAAGCAAGUUAAAUAAGUGAUUGUGUACGCGAUGCAUGUUUCAGUUGUCAUUAGUAUGCAAUGGGGUGAAUUAUUUUUUUUUUGAUCGAUCAAAGAGAAUAGAUUAAAAUGCACACAAGCCCUGUGCGGGCGAAUACAACAACCAAGAUCGAAAAGCCCACAAAAAAGACAGAGAAUUAUAAGAUACAAAGAAAUGGAGUGAACUAUUAGUGGCUAAAAUCGUGGUGUAUGUGGAAAUUUUUAAUUAGGAUACGACUCUCACCUCCGAAGCCACAAUACUCGGUUUGGUUGACGAUGGAUAAUGGUAUUAUAUGGCAUGCCAAGAGUGUAAUAAGAAAGUCAAGUAUAAUAAAGACAAUUAUCCUUGAUGCAUAAAUCCUUCCUACAAAAACUAUAACACGGGAUGGGUACUGGAAGCCGUUGCAAAGUACAUGUAAUAUGAGAUUAAGGGACAAGAAGGGCACAACUUUAGUUUUUACAGCCCUGGAUGGGCAGCAGAAAGGUUGAUGAAAUAUGGUGCUGAUGAUCAACUCCAGCGCGUGGAACACCUAGAUAAGCUUAACGAUAAGGAAAAGGAAGUGAAGAUGUUUGACCGAAUCAAGGGCAAGACUAUGGUUUUCAAGUUAAUGAUCACAGACUACAAUGUAAAGUACCAAUCCGACAAUUUCACUGUCAUGAAAAUAUUCAAGAACGAAGUUGAGACCAAGCAAGGAUCCUUUAAAUCCAUGGACAAGUGGUGAUGGAAUCCAAGAGCAGACUUUGAGUUCACUCUUUCUAAAAGAUGGAAAAAGGUUGUUGGGCAAGGAUGCAAGCGGGAUUUCACCUAACACAUCAGGAAAAAGGAUCACAAGAACAUGCACACAAUGAUGACGCUUAGCAUAAGAAAUCUGGGAAUACGCUCAUCUGGAGCGUUUAAAAUUUACUUAUAUUUAGAUGCAAGGCACAGAGCUUACACAGUGUUGGGUUUUACUUGAAACCAGGGACUAUCGAUGAGGCUUUCGAUGAAAAUGACAAUCCCACAUACAUUGGCAUUUCAAAUACAGCUAAGGAUCCAUCAAAAACAAAAAUCAUUACCAUUAGAAAGAAUGAUUUACCAGAUGGAUAUACCAAAAAAAAUUUCCAUCAACAGAUUCCAGAAAGGUUAAGAUAUCUUGAAUUAGAGAUUUUCUUUUAUUUUUUCGUAGGAAUGAAUUUGUUUUAUUUUUCUUAGGAAUAGAUUUGUU